AAUUACUCUUUCUUUCAUAAAACCAACAACACCUGGUUUGAAUGUUUACUUCCCCCUACCCCUAGACCGAGUGGGGUCGUAACACAGUCUAAGAUUGCCUCCAAAUGUUAAAAUAAAUACAAGCGGGACUAAUCAGAAACAGUACAGAAUAUGCUUUUUGAUGCUGAUCCAAGUAUUCCUCAUACUGAGGUGAGUGUUCCUUGUUAGUAUGCUACCAAAAUAUUGUUAAAAUCUUGUCUGAUACUUGUUAACCCAACAUCCUUAAAAACAAAUACCCAGGUUUCUCAUAUUCCAAAUCAACAAAUAAACAGAUAAUAUAAUAAAUCAAUUCUUUAUCAGUUAAAUACCAAUACACAUGUCAGUCAGGUGGUGAACCAGAAUAACCAGUCACGUUGUGCCCACUUGAUCAACAAAUCCCAUUUGAAAUUUUACAAAAAGAGCGUACAAGUUCUCCAUAGCCACCAUCAUGUCUUCAUGUUGAAGACCAUACUGAGGUUAUAUUUCCAUAUAACAUGGCUGUAGUGUGAUAUGCUGAUACAAAGCCUUGCUGUAAGCUGAGCCUGUAUCCUUUCUCUCUUUAGCUGCCGCAUUAAAAAAUACAUGAGAUCGCUGGAUCUGAUUACAGUAUCUUUGUGUGUUUGACAGUGAGAGCUGGAAAAAAUAAAUAAACCACAUUAUUUGGUAUAUAUGUAUCUUUAUGAAAGAGGGAUGGAUGUGGAGCCAAAACAGAUGGCAGGCAUGUAAGGUAAUAGGACUAAAUCAAUUCAUGCUGAGAGGGAGAAGGAGCAGAGGAAAGGGACGAAAGGAGGGCAUGAGAGAGGGAUGAGCAGUAGAGGGAAAAUUAUUUCAGGUAAGGAUGAAAGUGUAAGCUCUUUUUGCUCUCAUGCAUUACUCAAUACCUUCUCCAUACUUUAAAGGGAUUCAAAAGUGAAACAAAAUCCUUCUUUACCGGAGCAUUCAGGGGCCAUGUGAGGAGAAGAGGAUUCUCAGGAUUCAUUCUGCAAGGCACUGCUGCAAACAACACCAAGAAUGCAUCUGCAUGCAAGACCACUGGUGAGAGGCGGGGUACAUCCUGGACAGGAAGCCAGAGUACUUGGAGAGAACCCACGCAUGCACAGGGAGAACAUGCAAACUCCACGCAGGAAGACCCCUUGCCGGGAGUCCAGGCAACCAGUGCUACCAACUACACAACCCCAGCUCCCUAUGAUGGAUCCCUGCUGAACAAAUGUAUUCCAAUUCCUUACAAACGGCUUCACAUAACCACAGGAAGUGGAACUUGGCAGAGUCACAUUAUCAUGCAACCAUAAAAUGUGUCAGACAUGUCUUUUUUUGAAACGUUAAUUUAAAAGUUUUACCUAAACUGAGAUCUACUUGCAAUGCUUGAAGUUCAGUGCUCUGCUCAGUCUUGUCCGCACUUCAGCACAACCCAUACAAUGUGUUAAAGGCAAGAAGUGACAAGCAACAAAAGACACACCACACCGUGCCCCAGUGUGUUUCCGUACCCCAGCUGGUCUCAUAGACCGUCUGUCAUUGCGUUAUCAAAACCUUGAUUUGCAAAGCCAGCUUAACCUUUCAUAUGUCAAUCAUUGGGUGGCUGUUACUACCCCACUUGGUCAGCUCAGAGGUAUAACAACAGCAGGUUCACUUCAACCCAACCCCCCCUUUGGACACCAGCCCAUGUCUAGCAGUCUGCUCUCAAAACUUUCACUAUGGAAAACCAUUUUUAUAUUGUUAACAAUUGAGAUGUUUUGUUUUUAAAUUUGAGACACAAAUUUAGCCCUUAGACUGAAAUUUGCAAAAAUGCAGAAACUCCCCAUUCAUUGGAGAAACAUUAAAAUACUUCCUAAAAGCAAACUUUCCACAGUUUAAAAUAAAUCCUGUCAAGGUUAGAACAAUUUUAGACAUUACAGACUAUUGUAUGGAGGGAAUCUUUAAACUUGUGUCAAACUGAAAAAAAGUAAUGGAGACAGGAGAUAUCAUUUUCGUUUGUAAAACCUAUUUUCGCAAUAAAUCUAAAGGAUAUGAUAUUUCUCUGGGGUAAACUUCCCUACUGCUUUCUGUUGCCUGAGGCAACCAGCUCCUUGUUAUCAAUGCUAACACACAGAGCAACUGUGUGGUUUGAGUUUUAUAAGAUGUGAGUGAUAUUGAACUAUUGAAUGAAACACACCUAAUUUGCAGAAGAACAAAGGAAUUUACCUGACUACAUAUUUUGUUUCCUGUGGCUGU